AGUAACACGUGGAUAACCUACCUAUAAGACUGGGAUAACUUCGGGAAACCGGAGCUAAUACCGGAUAAUAUUUUGAACCGCAUGGUUCAAAAGUGAAAGACGGUCUUGCUGUCACUUAUAGAUGGAUCCGCGCUGCAUUAGCUAGUUGGUAAGGUAACAGCUUACCAAGGCAACGAUGCAUAGCCGACCUGAGAGGGUGAUCGGCCACACUGGAACUGAGACACGGUCCAGACUCCUACGGGAGGCAGCAGGC
rnacentral:rRNA from 1 species